rnacentral:lncRNA from 1 species
UUAAUCAAAUAUAAUUAUUAAUUGAAUGAUUAUUACAAGUCUAAAUAGAUAAUUCCCCAUUUUCCUAUUACAAGUCUAAAUAUAUAUAUAUAUAUAUAUAUUUUUUUUUUUAUUUGGGUCUAAAUUAGCAUUUGGUUUUUAAAAAUUUUUCUAAAUAAGCAUACGUUAGGUAACCGUUAAAUCAACAACUUUUCAGAUGCCAUGUGGUGUUGACGUGGCAUGAUAUGUAAAUGAUUAUGACGUGGCAUCCACGUAGAUGCCAUGUCAGACUCUCUUUCCUCAAAACCCUCUCUCUUUUCCUCUUCUGCUUGAACAAAAACCAGCUUCUCCUUAAACUGAAAAGAAAAAGUAAAAUCAUGAGCUGCUGUCUCUCAUGCAGGACGGAAUAAUUUCAUAAAGGAAAAAAAUAAAGAGAGAGCGAUGUAGAAACGGGAUUUUAGAGAGUGACAGAUUAUAAAAGUCAUAUCAAGUGAAAAUGAAAGAAGAGAGGAGGAAGAGAUUUCUACGCUUCCAAAACCCGAAAGCCAAGAGCAGAUGACAGAAGCUACCGAAGAAGAGGAAGAUGAUGAUGAUGACGACCUGUUACCAAAGCUAAAGAAUAGAGAAAGAAGAAGCAGAGGGAAUUGGGGUCGACAUGACGAUGAUGACGAUAAGAAGUUGACGAGCAUAGCAAGUGGAGGAUGGCGACUCGACGGAUCAGCUGGAGGAGGAAGAGUAACAGAGAGGAAAGUGAAGAAGGAAGACUGUGAGCCGGAAUAGAGAAACAAAGAAGGAAAAAGAAAAAGAACGGGAGAGAGAGAAGAAAUGAUGGAUUUGAGAGGAGAGAACGAGUUUCAUGUGUAGUUGAAUAAGAGUCUGACGUGGAUGCCAUGUCAUCCGAGCCGAUGCCACGUUCUAAAACAUUUUACACAUCAUGACAUGUUAACACCACGUGGCAGCU